GAGAAGGUGACUUUGAUGCAAUUUGGACUGAUGACACGUUCAAUAUUAAACUUUGAUGAAUAAGCGAACAGCUUAUAAAAGUUUUUGUCAAAAACGAAAAUAACAGGGUGCGCUCAGGUCUCUCUUGGUGCAGAUAUACCUGAAGAACGCCAAGUGGCUUCUCUUUUUUGGGAUAAAACAUUAGAACUUAAAGGAGAACACAAAGUUUUUGCUAGUAUGAAACAUAAUUUUAGAUGUUGACAUCGUAAUACAAUGUACAUAAUUGUGAUAAAAAGUGAAAAAAAUAAUCAUGAGUAUAUUCCUGUAGACAUGUAUUUUACCCCAGCGAUAAGGUGCUGGAAAGUUUGGAAAAUUUGACCUUGAAAAAUGUGUACGAACCCUGGUGUGUAAUCCAUUUUUAUAAUAAUAGUAGCAUAGUUAAAUUAUUCAAAUCAUUUAAUGUUUUUUUUCUUUCAUCUAGGUUGCCACCACCGCCGUCGCAGCGCCGGGGGGGGACCUUCCGCCUGUCGUCGAUCUUGGUGUCCGGCCGACACCAAGAUCCAACACAGGUAAGUGUGACGCUAACCCGCUUUCUUGCAGGUGUGCGGAGGCCCCGCUGAGGGCUUUUGUUCCUGGUCUUUGUGUCAGAGCUGCACCACUCAGUUCUGACACACUGACAUCCAUAGCAUGUGGUGUUGCAGCAGUUAUGAAACAUGUCAUCUCACCAGUGUGUACAUGGAAAGGGAAAGAUAUCGACAGCAUAGGCAUAGAAGGUGGCAAACUGGCCAGUGACAUAGUUGAAGCUAGGCAGAACGGUAGCGCUAAAUGGUUGUGUGAGUUGAUUGAGGAGCAGAAGGUGUUUGGCAGGCAGUGGCAGGUAGCUAUUCCUCCUCCAGCACGUAGUGACUUUAAGUUACUGGAGGGGGACACCAUGAUGUUUGAGAAGCUGCAAGAGCAUUUGUUGACGCAUGGCGCGUGUCUGUUGGACCUCGGUGGUGCAGUAAGUGCCAUUAUUGAUCAUAAUGAGCAUCUUGUGGUUGUUGAUUGCGGCGUGCGCGAUGCAUCUGGGAUGGCAUCUAGCAUUGGCACAUCUGUGGUUGUGUUCAACACAUCCCUUGCUGACUUGAUGCUUCACAUCCGUCAGCUGAAGGAGACUUUAGAUGCGAAGUGGUAUGCCGUCCAUGGCAUUUCCGUCAUGCCAUAUCCACUAGAUGAUGACAGUGAGAGUGCUACGUUGUUUGCAGGCGGGAGUGUUGACGUCGGUGUUGCAGCUACGCUCAAGGAUAGCGUGUCAGUCAGGCCAGAGAUCGAGGUAAGUUCCAUCAGGGGAACUUUUCACCAAGGGAACGAUCGGUUCCUACACGGAGGGCGUCAGUGUAUGGCUGUAAGUUUGGUUGCUUUGGCCAAACACAGCAUUGAUAGUGUGUUUUCUUGGCAGUCCGACGAUCUGGAUAAGGUUGUAGAGUUGGGGGACAAGCUCUACACAUCAUUGUGGGAAAGUAAGUCCAUCAGUGGGAGGUCUGAACUGCUGUGUGUUCCAGAUUUGCCCAAAGAGUCCAUCAUUGAUGGACAGGAAUUUGAGUUUGAGUAUGGUGACUAUGUUUCUGGUGAUGUUGAUGUGGUUGAGGGACAGUUUGUUGAUGAAGGUGUGUACACCACUCUCAGGAAUGGUUUGGGAGAGAUGUGUAGCAAAUAUGACACAUGCUUUCUGACUGUGAGUGGCAGCACAUGUGCUAUCAUUGGUCGAGAUGGGCAGUAUGCAGUUGUUGACUCCCACGCACGCGGUGCAGAUGGCAUGGUAGAUGAGCUCGGGUUUAGUGUUGUUGUGUAUUUUAGUUGCCUUGACCGUGUGUUUGAUCACAUAUGCAAAUUUGCCACCGCAAUGAACUCUCCAAAGCCGUUUGAGAUUGCCGGUGUUUGUGUCACUCACAAAAGUCAAAGUGCAACUGUUGAAAGCAGAGAGGUUGAGUUUGGUUGUAGCUUACCUCUUCAGCCAGCACUUGAAGUGUCGGCUGAACAGGUAACACUUGACAGCAGCAACAGUCAGACAGGUGUGAAACGCAAGAUUUCGGUGGGUGAUCGUGCAUCCAAAAAGUUGAAAAGCAGGGAUGUUAAUCUGGUUAAUUCAGACGUUGUAUUUGUCAGUGAUGUGAGAAGGAAAAGACUUGAGUUUAAUCCGCUGCGCAGCGACGUUGCACAAGCUUUGUGCAAACAGUUGAACGUGGAGUCGGAGAAACUUGAUCUGGUGUCGACAGAGGUUGGUGCGUUAGGGGCUCCUUGUAGGAACGAGCAAAUAGUUGGUGAUGGUAAUUGUUUCUUUAGAGCGGUUAGUCAAGCUGUGUGUGGCACACAGAAGAAUCAUAGAAAAAUGAGAUUAGCUGUGUUUAAGCAGUUACGGGCCAAUCCUCUAGCAUAUACUUUGCGUCGCGAGUAUUCGUCAAUGGCAGAUUAUGUGAGUAGAUCGGGAAUGCAACGUGUUGGUACUUGGGCCACUGAGGUAGAGAUUCAAGCAGCAGCAGAUUGUUUAGGAGUGAAUAUUUUCACGUAUUGUGGUGAUCGCUGGCUUGAAUACAGUUGCAAGAAUAGGCAGUUGUGCAAUCAGGCAGUGUAUUUAGAGAAUUGUAACGGUAACCAUUAUGAAAAUGUUGUUUGUGUUAUGCAGCCUGAGAUGCAGAGCUGUUAUGGGUACUGCAAAGUGAAUGCGUCUUGUUCCGGAGGGUACAAUCUUAGACGGCAAAGUAGACAGAGUAGUGUUUGUGCUGAGAGUUUAAGUCCGGUUGUUGCUUCAGGUUGUGUAGCUGAAGAAGUUAUCGAUAUUGAAGUUAUAGAACAGCAGGAUAGUACUGUGUCUAUGCAAGAGCAGUCUUCAUUUACAUUUAAGCCAACUAAUGUUAAUACUUCUAAGUAUUUGAUAAGGAAAAGGAGCUCAAAAAUAAAAAGGAAAUACCAGCUAAAUGAUUUGUAUAGGGAGAAAAAGAAGGACAAUGCUAAACAGAAAUAUAACACAAAUGGUAUGCAUAAGACGAAAGUUAUUGAAAGAAAUAAAAGACAAUAUAGGAAAAAUGAAGUGUAUAAGGAUAAAGUUAAGGAAAUGAGUGUAAAGAAAUAUAGCGAAAAUGAAGUAUUUAAGGAUAAAGUUAAGAAAAGGAGUCAAGAGAAAUAUAGCGAAAAUGAAGUAUUUAAGGAUAAAGUUAAGAAAAGGAGUCAAGAGAAAUAUAGGGACAAUGACG
ensembl:lncRNA